rnacentral:lncRNA from 1 species
CUAAGAUAUAUUUAAGGGACAUACGAUAAUAAGUUACGAGUUUGAAAACAAAAUUAAGUGAUUGAUUUAUAAUAAUUGCCUGAUCUAAGAAAAGGACGAGUCUUUUAUAAAGUUGUGAUAAAAACAAAAAGGGAAGUAAACGCAUUCUCCCUUCAAAAUGGCUGCUAAAGGAAAACAAGAAAACGUGGGGAGCGAUGAAGAAGAAGAAACUGUCCAAACUAUUCCCCAACGAAAUAUAUCAGGCAUUAGAAACAAAAUACUCAGAAAUGAAGCAUAUAAAAAACUCAAAAAAGAAAAAGCAAAGGUACGAAACAGGAUAACUCGGGUCAAAACAGUUUUCUCUACUGACAUACUGAUUACUGUUGGAAUAUAGGUGGAUUUAGGUAGUGUCCUGGCCCCCCAUUUUAUGGGGAAAAUUUUGUUGACUAUAGGGAAUCACUGAGACAUGACUGGAGCAGGCCCUCUUAAGCAGUCUGUGGGCCCUUAUGAAAAUAUGCUCAGUAUUUGCAUGUGUCUCCGCAC